rnacentral:lncRNA from 1 species
GGAGGGAGGAGGCUAGGGUUCGGAGUUAAACCCGACAACUUUAGCCGACGAAAUAAUUAUUUCGUCGGCUAAAGUCUUAAAUUUCGUCGGCUAUAAACCAAUUCGUCGGCUAAAGUCUUAUAAAUUCGUCGGCUAAAACUUUGAAAUUCGUCGGCUAAAGUCUUAAAUUUCGUCGGCUAAAACUUUGAAAUUCGUCGGCUAAACCUUUGAAAUUCGUCGGCUAAAAGUAUUUGUAUACAUUUGGCAUGUUGUGAUUGUGAUGAUCAAACUUGAGAAACAGAAAUCCGACCGUCAGAUCUGACCAUCAUGAUAAAAUACAUGUAUGGGAAAAAAUUCAACUUGAUCCGAAAAGAAUAAGGGCUCGAUCCGGACGGUCAAUCUCGUAAGUCAAACCCCUAAACGCACGGAAAAGGUCGUUCGACCGUCUAAAUUACGUAUUUUGGCCGGACCUCCAACUGAAAAUAGUUUUAAACCGAUGACACGCAACAAGUCGUAUAAAAAUUUUAAGCAAAAUAACCACCGAAUAUAGGGCUACUCAUAGGGGGAAAAAAUGAAAAAUUGCAUUGACCGCAACUAUCGGCACCGAAUAUUUACCGGAAUAGUGUGAUUUUUCAACCGUGGAUGUAUUUCAACAUUCUCGUCAUAUCUUAUUUCAUGACUUUUUGCCGUUUGAAGGUUUUACGUAUAGUUUGUUUUUGAAACGGAACAUUUACAUAACACUAGGUAAACAAGUUAUAUAACAUUAGUAUGCCUGUUGUGAUUGUGAUGAUCAAACUUGAGAAACAGUCAUCCGACCGUCAGAUCUGACCAUCAUGAUAAAAUACAUGUAUGGGAAAAAAUUCAACCUGAUCCGAAAAGAAUAAGGGCUCGAUCCGGACGGUCAAUCUCAUAAGUCAAACCCCUAAACGCACGGAAAAGGUCGUUCGACCGUCUAAAUUACGUAUUUUGGCCGGACCUCCAACUGAAAAUAGUUUUAAACCGAUGACACGCAACAAGUCGUAUAAAAAUUUUACGCAAAAUAACCACUGAAUAUAGGACUAUAGUAGGUAAUAGAAAAAUUUUAGGGUUUAGCCGACGAAUACCCUAACGUAUUCGUCGGCUAUAGUAUGUAAUUAAAAAUUAAAAAAUAACUAUAGCCGACGAUAUAUUAGGUUAUUCGUCGGCUAUAGUAUUUUAGCCGACGAAUUAUAGUGUAUUUCGUCGGCUAUAGUAUGUAAUUAAAAAAUUAAAAAAUUAAAAAUUAAAAAUAACUAUAGCCGACGAAAU